GCCUUCUUUGCCCAAUUGGCAGUGCAUCAGUCUCACAAUUUGAAGGGCCUGAGUUCGAGCCUCAGAGAAGACA
rnacentral:tRNA from 1 species